UGACAAAGUUGGUUUUAUGAUCUCAAAAUCAGACCGUUCAGACAUGACUGAGGUGCUGCAAAAGAGAUCUCCAUCAGACGUGAACGUAGUCAGUUCGAUGAUCACAGCCCAGGUCUUUUCAUCAAGCCAGUUGCUCUCCUGCAGCAAAUCCAGCCUUGUUGUUGAAUUACGUCUUCCUUCUUCAGGGAAAAAGUAAAACGUGUAUCCUCCUGGUCCGUAUGUGUGCAGAUCUCCGUAUGAGAAGUAAGUCCAGGGAGCCCUGUUUGGUUGGCAAACCGAUGAUUUUGGAUGAGCUGUCGGUAAGAAAAGUUGGCUGAACGUCGUUGUGGAUCAAAGGCAAGAAGGUGUCGUUCACCCACGUGUAAAUAUCUGCCAGCUUAACCACAGCAGGGAGUCUGGGAGAGAACUGGUUCCGAAUAAAUUGGUUGUAGUGGAAA